rnacentral:lncRNA from 15 species
UUUCAGCAAAGACAAUGGCCUGUCUAUCCUGUGGUACUAAGUAAAUGUCAGGUACAGACGGACGGUGGAUCAGUCCGGGAUGGAAAAGGAAAAUCCUCGUCGUCAUCUUCCUCCUCCUGCUUUUCCAGAAAGGUUCGGCGUGUUUGGUCCUGCCUGACUGUAGCCCCGCCACAAUGAGAGGACCUGAGGCGUGAAGUGCAAUCACGUCCAUCAACUCUUAUCAAACCUGUCACAGGGUGUCUGACGCAAGGCUGCUUU